UACGUAGGGUGCAAGCGUUGUCCGGAAUUAUUGGGCGUAAAGAGCUUGUAGGCGGUUUGUCGCGUCUGCUGUGAAAUUUCGGGGCUCAACCCCGAACUUGCAGUGGGUACGGGCAGACUAGAGUGUGGUAGGGGAGACUGGAGUUCCUGGUGUAGCGGUGAAAUGCGCAGAUAUCAGGAAGAACACCCGUGGCUAAGGCGGCUCUCUAGUACGGUACUGACGCUGAGACGCGAAAGCGUGGGGAGCGAACAGG
rnacentral:rRNA from 1 species